GUCUACGGCCAUACCAAGCUGAAAGCACCUGAUCUCUUCUGAUCUCAGAAGCGAAGCAGGGUUGGGCCUGCUUAGUACUUGG
rnacentral:rRNA from 1 species